GCCUGGGAGGUGGCCAAGGCCUUCAUGCCCCGAGGACUGACAGACAAAUGAGGACUCAAGGAAUGUGAGGUAGUUGCUCUUUUAAGUCUUUUCAACUCCUGCGAUCAUUUUGUGAUUGAUCGAAGAAAAGUCACAGAGUUGAUUAAGUGUCAUAAUGAUAUAAUGCACUCUUCAGAAAAGAAAGUAUCUUCUACAUGGUUUCCAGAUUUUCAGAUGAAGAUCCAAAAUUUUCUGAAUGAAUUCAACAAUAUCCCAGAAAUUGUGGCAGUAUACUUCAGAACAGAACAGCUAUUGACGUCUGACUGGGCUGUUCACAUCCCUGAGGAAGAUCAACAAGAUGGGUAUGAAUGUGAAACAGAAACCUACCUGUGUGAGAGCCAAAUCAAUGAAAUAGAAAUGCAGUUACUAAAGGAAAAACUUCAAGAGAUGUACCUUCAAGCAGAAGAACAAGAGAUGUCGCCUGAAGAGAUCUCAAAUCAACCGAAAGUGGUGACGGAAUUUCUGAGAAACAAUGAGGAUCUUAGAAAUGGUCUUACAGUAGAUAUGCAGAAGCUAGACAGCCUCUGUUGGCAACAUCAAAAACUGGAUUCAAAGGAACCUGGGAGACAGACACCUGAAAGGAAGGCCUGAGGUUGCCCUUUGAGAAAAAUCAGACAUGUUUGUAAAAGUCAGCAUGGCUUCCAUCUCAGAUGCAAGAGGAAAAAGUUACCAGAUGAUUGUACCCAAAUAAAAGGAAAUUUUUGUUGUUUUGUCCUGCACUUUCCUUUGACUCUUUUGGAGUAUUUUUCUUUAAUAUUUAGAAACUUGGGGCUGUAUAAUCUAAACCAAUCAAAAAAUAUAGAUACUCU